rnacentral:rRNA from 1 species
GAUGAACGCUGGCGGCGUGCUUAACACAUGCAAGUCGAACGAAGCACUUUAUUUGAUUUCCUUCGGGACUGAUUAUUUUGUGACUGAGUGGCGGACGGGUGUGUAACGCGUGGGUAACCUGCCUUGUACAGGGGGAUAACAGUUGGAAACUGCUGCUAAUACCGCAUAAGCGCACGGCAUCGCAUGAUGCAGUGUGAAAACCUCCGGUGGUAUAAGAUGGACCCGCGUUGGAUUAGCUAGUUGGUGAGGUAACGGCCCACCAAGGCGACGAUCCAUAGCCGACCUGAGAGGGUGACCGGCCACAUUGGGACUGAGACACGGCCCAAACUCCUACGGGAGGCAGCAGUGGGGAAUAUUGCACAAUGGGCGAAAGCCUGAUGCAGCGACGCCGCGUGAGCGAAGAAGUAUUUCGGUAUGUAAAGCUAUAUCAGAAGGGAAGAUAAUGAUGGUACCUGACUAAGAAGCACCGGCUAAAUACGUG